UUUCCGUAGGUGAACCUGCGGAAGGAUCACUACCGAGUGAGCGUCUCUCAGGCCCGACCGCCCACCCUGUGUGUUUGUGACCUUGUUGCUUUGGCGGUCCCGGCGCGAUGGGAGGCCGCCGGAAGCUCACCGCUUUGGGCCCUUGCCCGUCAGUAGCCCCCUUAAAUUCUUACUAAACCUGUCGUCUGAGUUAAUGGAUAGAAUGAAAAAAACUUUCAACAACGGAUCUCUUGGUUCUG
rnacentral:misc_RNA from 1 species